GUUCCAAUCUCAGACCUCAUCUCUCAAAUCAUGGAGGCUGUCUUUGAGACCAUCCAUGUCGAUCGAUACAUCCUCCUCGAGCACCAGAGCUUCGCCGAGCUUGCCUCCUCCCUAGAAGAACUUGUAGAGGAGGGCAGAGGGGGGUUGGGGAUGGAAUCAGGCCCAAUUGAGAAUGUCGGGGUUGAGAAGGGAGAGGGCACGGAUGAGAGUGGUGGCCAAGGCCUA
rnacentral:lncRNA from 1 species